AUGGCAAAAUACUGGUGGGGGAGCUCUAUUGACAAAAGAUCCCUACACUGGUUGGCAUGGGAUAAAUUGACAGAGCCAAAAAUCAAAGGAGGUUUAGGGUUUCGGGAUCCUCAAAUGUUCAAUCUCGCAAUGCUUGGAAAGCAAUGCUGGCGCAUACCGACCAAACCUGAUUCUUUGUGCUCAAGAGUAUUGAAGGGAAAGUAUUUUCCACACACAGAUUUUCUCCAAGCCUCGAUACCUAAGGGGGCAUCCUCUACCUGGAAGGCAAUCAUCGCAGGCAGA
rnacentral:rRNA from 1 species